UCAAAGAUUAAGCCAUGCAUGUCUAAGUAUGAACGAGAUUAUACAGUGAGACUGCGGAUGGCUCAUUAAAUCAGUUAUAGUUUAUUUGAUGGUUCCUUUUUCUUUUCCACUACUUGGAUAACCGUAGUAAUCCUAGAGCUAAUACAUGCCAACAACCCCGACUAAGGGGUGGGAGGAGGGAAGGGGCAACUCUUUUCUCCUCUCACGCUCACCCUUCGGAAGGGGCGUAUUUAUUAGAUAAAAAACCGACGCAGGGCUCGUCCCUGGACCUUCGGUGAGUCACGGUAACUCGAUCGGAUCGCAUCAAAACAACUCUUUCCUUCG
rnacentral:rRNA from 1 species